rnacentral:rRNA from 1 species
AACGAACGCUGGCGGCAGGCUUAACACAUGCAAGUCGAGCGCCCCGCAAGGGGAGCGGCAGACGGGUGAGCAACGCGUGGGAAUCUACCCAUCUCUACGGAAUAACGCAUGGAAACGUGUGCUAAUACCGUAUACGUCCUUCGGGAGAAAGAUUUAUCGGAGAUGGAUGAGCCCGCGUUGGAUUAGCUAGUUGGUGGGGUAAAGGCCUACCAAGGCGACGAUCCAUAGCUGGUCUGAGAGGAUGAUCAGCCACACUGGGACUGAGACACGGCCCAGACUCCUACGGGAGGCAGCAGUGGGGAAUAUUGGACAAUGGGCGCAAGCCUGAUCCAGCCAUGCCGCGUGAGUGAUGAAGGCCCUAGGGUUGUAAGGCUCUUUCACCGGUGAAGAUAAUGACGGUAACCGGAGAAGAAGCCCCGGCUAACUUCGUGCCAGCCGCCGCUGUAACAC